UACGGGAGGCAGCAGUGGGGAAUAUUGCACAAUGGGCGCAAGCCUGAUGCAGCCAUGCCGCGUGUAUGAAAAAGGCCUUCGGGUUGUAAAGUACUUUCAGUCGUGAGGAAGGUGUUAAGGUUAAUAACCUUAGCAAUUGACGUUAGCGACAGAAGAAGCACCGGCUAACUCCGUGCCAGCAGCCGCGGUAAUACGGAGGGUGCGAGCGUUAAUCGGAAUUACUGGGCGUAAAGCGUGCGCAGGCGGUUUUUGUAAGACAGAGGUGAAAUCCCCGGGCUCAACCUGGGAACUGCCUUUGUGACUGCAAGGCUGGAGUGCGGCAGAGGGGGAUGGAAUUCCGCGUGUAGCAGUGAAUGCGUAGAUAUGCGGAGGAACACCGAUGGCGAAGGCAAUCCCUGGGGCCUGCACUGACGCUCAUGCACGAAAGCGUGGGGAGCAAACAGGAAUUAGAUACC
rnacentral:rRNA from 1 species